UUAUCCGGAAUUAUUGGGCGUAAAGAGCUCGUAGGCGGUUUGUCGCGUCUGCUGUGAAAUCCCGAGGCUCAACCUCGGGCCUGCAGUGGGUACGGGCAGACUAAAGUGCGGUAGGGGAGAUUGGAAUUCCUGGUGUAGCGGUGGAAUGCGCAGAUAUCAGGAGGAACACCGAUGGCGAAGGCAGAUCUCUGGGCCGUAACUGACGCUGAGGAGCGAAAGGGUGGGGAGCAAACAGGCUUAGAUACCCUGGUAGUCCACCCCGUAAACGUUGGGAACUAGUUGUGGGGUCCAUUCCACGGAUUCCGUGACGCAGCUAACGCAUUAAGUUCCCCGCCUGGGGAGUACGGCCGCAAGGCUAAAACUCAAAGGAAUUGACGGGGACCCGCACAAGCGGCGGAGCAUGCGGAUUAAUUCGAUGCAACGCGAAGAACCUUACCAAGGCUUGACAUAUACGAGAACGGGCCAGAAAUGGUCAACUCUUUGGACACUCGUAAACAGGUGGUGCAUGGUUGUCGUCAGCUCGUGUCGUGAGAUG
rnacentral:rRNA from 1 species